rnacentral:rRNA from 1 species
GUAGGGUGAACCUGCGGAAGGAUCAUUG